rfam:Stomoxys calcitrans breed 8C7A2A5H3J4 unplaced genomic scaffold Scaffold1407, whole genome shotgun sequence.
CAAUCGGUCCUUUUCAGGACCACAAAGCAUAUUUAAAAAGAGAUAU